GCCUGGGCCCGCGGGGACGGGCCCAGCGCGGCCUCCGCAUCCCCGGCCUUGCGUGACGGGGGUCGCCGCCCAUGGCGGCCCCUCCCUGGGGCUGCGCCGCUGGCGGUACCGGAGGCGGUACCGGAGGCCUCCGGCCCACGCGUGAGGCCCGGCUCCACCGCUGAUCGUGGUCUUCAGCUGUCUGGGUGUCAUUUCUAGUCAGGAAACAACUGCAAGGAUUGGAUUUCAUGGGUUCUGCUAAGUCAGUGAUAUUCAGUCACUGGUGAUGGGAGCAGUGUUUAUCUGGAACAUUAGUACUAUUAAAAGGGGCUAAAAUCUUGAGCGGCAGCUGGAAUUAGUAGAUACUCCAGCUUGGAAACUGUCAGCUGAAGAGCAAGAAUUGAAAAUAGAAGGAAAAAUACUGGAAAAUGAUUCCUUGUUUUCUAAGGAUACGGUUUUAGGGCAUGUGUUUUUUGGAACACAUGAGAACAGAAGAAGAGUAAUUGGGAUAUGAAAAAUAAAAGGGAUUUAAAUGCAGUUUGUGGCAAGUAAUUUCAACGUGAUCCAACAUAUGCAAGUUCUGGAUGUGAAUGCCUACCCGUAUACGUGUUCUAACAUGGCACUAUAUGUUGUUUCAUCCAUCUCUAACAAAUAUUUGUUACAGAGCUAGGAGAAUCCUCUGUCCUCCCACCCCUCAAAGCAGUUGUCUACCCAGAUGUAGCUGCACUGUCAGUAUUAAUAUAUGACAAAUUUUGAUCGGUACAGGGCUGUUUAUGAGUGCAAAAUGUAUCUAUAGCCGGUUUCUAAGUGAACAGUUUUUCCACCCCAGCACUGCUGUGUCUCAUCAGCUUUUUCCAGCCUGCAAAAUCUUGAAGGGGGUAGAAAAUGAGUGUUGUACUAGUCUCUUCAUAAAAGGAAAGUGAAAACUUCAUAAGGAUCACAUUUCCAAAGCAAUGUCACUUUCCAGGUACAGGUUCUCCCCAUUUGCACGGUGCAGUUACCAAUACACAGGGAUGGGCUGUUCUCUUCCCUACUUUAGGCUUCUGUUCAACUACUUUUUAUCUUAGUUACUGAUUGUUUAAGACUGCACUUUGUAAGUUUGAAGAGUGAAAGAGUUUUACAAGGUUAAGUAAAAAAAAUGAGAUGCCUGAAAAUAUUGCAAAAUUCAUCCCUCUCAAGUCUGUUAUUUAUUUAAUGCCUCGAUGAAAAUAUUACCUCCAAAAGUCUCUGUGCAUGUGGCUUGGUCCCUGGGACAGCUGCCAAGACAGGAAUUUCAGAUGCCUGAAAUCAUGUGCUCAGCAGGUGUAAAGGUGUAAAUUGCGUGCACGGAGAGUUCACCUUUUGUCCUUAACCCCAGAGGCAGUUUCUCUUCAUUAGCAGGGGAAGAUGGGGAAAAAGAUCAUCAUCGUUUCCUGACUGCAUGCCAAAGUUAUGUAUCAUAAGAAGAAAAUCUGUUCAUACAUUCUCAAAUAUGUUUUCUCCUAAUCUGUCUUCAGGAAAAUGUCUUUGAGAGGAGCAAGAGUGGUGAUUGCAGGAGAGCUGGGACAAAGGGAUAGAACAGAUACAGAAUUUCUCUGCUGGGAUUUUUCCAACAGGAUCCAUGUGACCUUUUGUGAUCCAGAACUAUUCCAUUGAAAAAGAAAGGAUAUUGGAAAAUCCCUGAGAGCCUGGUAUCUGGAACAAUGAGCAUUUCUGGAUGUGAGUGGCUCCUCUCUGUGUCCGAAGGCCGUGGUGGGGAUAUCUCACCACAUCUUCCCUCAGCACCAUUUUGGCCACGCCAGCCAUCCUGUACCUUCCCUGGAAUUUCAGAUUAUGCCUUUUCAUCUACUGAAAUAUUCCUCCCUGCAGAUUUAAAUAAUUAAUUGGGACGUGCCUAGUGGGUCUUGAGCUAAACUUCAGAGAGGCAGUGGAUAUGUGUGACCAAGUGACCUUUUGCUGUCCUGCUCGUCCCCGCGCGCUCGCUGUGCUCAAAGGGACGCUGUCAAAAUUGCUAGGCCUUAAAACUUUAACCCACACUGACAAGUUGUUCUACAUUAUAAGUCUUCCCUAAAAGAUUACCACGAUUGUUUUGUUUGUUUUGUUCCAACCAUCUUUGCUGAAGGCUCCACAAUACGGAUUCAUUUGUCCUUUUGGGUAGGUGGAUAUUUUUAAAUGCCCGGCUUAUUCCGUGACCUGUUAAAAUGGA